rnacentral:rRNA from 1 species
GGCAAAGCUCAAAUUUGAAAUCUGGUACCUUCGGUGCCCGAGUUGUAAUUUGGAGAGGGCAACUUUGGGGCCGUUCCUUGUCUAUGUUCCUUGGAACAGGACGUCAUAGAGGGUGAGAAUCCCGUGUGGCGAGGAGUGCGGUUCUUUGUAAAGUGCCUUCGAAGAGUCGAGUUGUUUGGGAAUGCAGCUCUAAGUGGGUGGUAAAUUCCAUCUAAAGCUAAAUAUUGGCGAGAGACCGAUAGCGAACAAGUACAGUGAUGGAAAGAUGAAAAGAACUUUGAAAAGAGAGUGAAAAAGUACGUGAAAUUGUUGAAAGGGAAGGGCAUUUGAUCAGACAUGGUGUUUUGUGCCCUCUGCUCCUUGUGGGUAGGGGAAUCUCGCAUUUCACUGGGCCAGCAUCAGUUUUGGUGGCAGGAUAAAUCCAUAGGAAUGUAGCUUGCCUCGGUAAGUAUUAUAGCCUGUGGGAAUACUGCCAGCUGGGACUGAGGACUGCGACGUAAGUCAAGGAUGCUGGCAUAAUGGUUAUAUGC